GCUCCCCGUCGCUAGGGCAACCAAGGAAGAGGUCAAGGUUAGGAGGUCAAGCCCUGCGGGGCCGGUGGCCGGGGAACAGAUCGCCCGCCCCCGUCAGGUUGGUCUCCCCGCGGCUCGCGGAGAUCUGGAGGAAAGGACUGGCCCAGGGAACUGCCACUCACAGCGGCAGCUCGGUGAGCCCGCCCCCCGCCCACGGCGCUCGGAAGACCCACCUCCUCUUUUUAAGACUAAGCGACGGAGGCCGCGAUUGGAGGCGCGGGCGGUGACGUGACUUUCCGCUUUGGCUGGCCUUCCGCUCGGGCAGCUCUCGGGAGGGGCUCGGGGGACAUUUAGCGGGGCUGCCCGGUCCCCCGGCCCUUGCAAGUGCGAUGAGGUCAGUUAGCUACGUGCAGCGCGUGGCCCUGGACUUUAGCGGGAGCCUCUUCCCGCACGCGAUCUGCCUCGGAGACGUCGACAACGACACGUUAAAUGAACUGGUGGUGGGAGACACCAGUGGGAAGCUGUUCGUGUAUAAGAAUGAUGACAGCCGGCCGUGGCUCACCUGUUCCUGCCAGGGCAUGCUGACUUGCGUUGGGGUUGGAGAUGUAUGUAAUAAAGGCAAGAACCUGGUGGUGGCAGUGAGUGCUGAAGGCUGGUUCCACCUGUGUGACCUGACGCCUGCCAAGGCCAUGGAUGCUUCCGGACACCAUGAGACCAUAAUGGGAGAGGAACAACAUCCAGUCUUCAAGCAGCACAUUCCUGCCAACACCAAGGUCAUGCUGAUCAGCGACAUCGAUGGAGAUGGGUGUUGCGAGCUGGUGGUAGGUUACACAGACCGUGUGGUCCGAGCUUUCCGCUGGGAAGAUCUGGGCGAGGGCACUGAACAUCCGACGGGGCAACUGGUGUCACUCAAGAAAUGGACACUGGAGGGUCAGGUGGACAGUCUUUCGGUGACUCCAGGACCCCUGGGUGUUCCGGAACUGAUGGUAUCUCAGCCAGGCUGUGCUUAUGCCAUCCUGCUGUGUACCUGGAACAAGGACAUGGAGCUGCCCCCCACCCCUGAGGAGGUCUCAGAGGGCAGUAGGGAGACCCCAGCUGCCCGAGACAUCAUGCUGCACCAGACUUCCGGCCGCAUCCACAACAAGAACGUCUCCACCCACCUCAUUGGCAACAUCCGAAGAAGUGAAGGCCACAGCUCUGAGAAGGGUGGCUCUGGCCUUUUUGCCCUCUGCACCCUGGAUGGGACUCUGAAGCUUAUGGAGGAAGCAGACAAGCUGUUGUGGUCCGUGCAGGUGGAUCACCAGCUUUUCGCCCUAGAGAAACUGGAUGUCACGGGCAAUGGGCAUGAGGAGGUGGUUGCCUGUGCCUGGGAUGGACAGACCUAUAUCAUUGAUCACAACCGCACCGUUGUCCGCUUCCAGGUGGACGAGAACAUCCGGGCCUUCUGUGCAGGCCUCUAUGCCUGCAAAGAGGGCCGCAACAGCCCCUGCCUCGUGUACGUCACGUUCAACCAGAAGAUCUAUGUGUACUGGGAGGUGCAACUUGAGCGGAUGGAGUCGACCAAUUUGUUGAAGCUGCUGGAGGCUGAGCCAGAGUUCCAGAGCCUCCUCCAGGAGCUGGGCGUGGAUCCUGAUGACAGCCCAGCUAUCCGCAACCUGCUUCACCAAACCCUCUAUCAUCCGGACCAGCCACCACAGUGUGCUCCUGCAAGCAUCCAUGAUCCCACCUAGCCAGACUUGCCAUCUUAGCUGAAGAAGGAGCCUCCUGAACUACCCCAGCCCCCAAGGUUUAUUUAUUUUUAGUAACCUCUGCACCCAGUGUGGGGCUGAACUCAAGACUGCGAGUCGCAUGCUGUUCUGAUACGCCAGCCAGGUACCCCCUCCACCAAGUCAUUUUUUAACCUGAAAUUUAUAGAACUCAACAAACCAAUUCAUUAACAAGGAAUAACUACAUUGAACGCUAAUGAUGAGACACAGGUGGAGAAAACUUUCAGGAGCACUACUGAGGAAGAUUAAACCAGUCUUCUAUUGUUAGGAAUAGAAGCAACCUAGGAGAUUUUCCUUUCCAAGCCACUUGGGAAAUGUCUCUAAUUUCUCUCAUUUAUUUCACCUUGUGGUUCACAUAGAUGUUGAAGCAAAUGGACCCCAAAUCAGGAAUUUUGUGAGAAAAAAAAUGGAAGCUUGGGAUUUGGCUCUCUCGCUGCAUCAGUUCUCUGAAUUAUAGCAAGUUUUCCUUUUGUUCAGUCAAAAACUAUUGGGUACCUACUAUAUGUCAGACACUGAGGUAGGCUCUGGGCACACAGUGGUGGACCAGAUGCAGACCCCGCUCUCAUGGAGUUCACAUUCUAAUGAAGAAGGCAGACAAUAAACAGCCACAUUUAUCUUGUCAAGUAGUGGUAAGUGCUGAAGACAAAUAGAGCAGGAUGAGAGGAGACAGAGCCAUGGGCGUUGGGGUGUGGGUAGACGAUGUCGGGCAGAGAUGAGAAGGUGAGGGAGAGGCUGUGCUCAUUGCUGGAGGAAGAGGGUCACAGACAGAGAACUCGGGAUGCUUGCAGGUAAGAUAGGCUGGGCUGGGACAGUGCUUGUCCCUACACACACCCAGGACAGGGUAGAUCUGCCCCUCUCCCUCCCCGCUGUCCAGCCUGGCUUCUCCGGUGACCAGUCACUCACACCAGGAACACUGGCUGGGAUAAAGAACAUUGUCUCCUGCCAUGGAGAGAAUCAAGCUAUCUCAUCUACCCAAGAUGGAACCCUUUCUCCUGGCUUUUCCCACCUGGGUUAACAAGCCGCCAAACCCUGAGUCCCACAGAUGUGAGUUGGGAUUCCCUCCACUGAAAGAAUACACAGAACACUGCCUGUGAGUUCUAGAACAGUCAGAGGGUGAUGGGUCUUUGUAUUUCUAGCAACAAGGGAGGCUGAGAGGGGCUCCAAGCAUAAGGUUUUCUUGGUUUUCACCCUCAAGGGUCUGGGUCUUCCAGAGAACUUUCUGCCUUUAGAGAAAACCAGGCCACAUCUUAUAUUUGCCAUCUGGUGUCAGACAAUCAUUAGUAAGUCUAGAUUUGUGCUGGCCAAGACAGCAGUCACCAGCUACAUGUAUGUGGUUAUCGAGCACUUGAGGUGUGGCUAGUCUAAAGAGAGCUUUGCUGUACAUGUAAAAUAUACACCAGAUGUAUUGAACACAAUACAAGAAACAAUGUGAAAUACCUCAAUUAUUUUUCCAUGGUUUACAUUAUUUUAUGUUGAUAAUAUUUUGGAUCUAUUGUAUUCAAUAAAAUAUGUUAUAAAAAUGAA